GCUGCACAUCUCCCUGCAGUCUGAGCCUGUGGUGACCGAUGCGUUCCUGGCCGUGGCUGGCCACAUCUUCUCUGCAGGCAUCACGUGGGGCAAGGUGGUGUCCCUGUAUGCGGUGGCCGCGGGGCUGGCCGUGGACUGUGUGAGGCAGGCCCAGCCUGCCAUGGUCCACGCCCUCGUGGACUGCCUGGGGGAGUUCGUGCGCAAGACCCUGGCAACCUGGCUGCGGAGACGCGGCGGAUGGACUGAUGUCCUCAAGUGUGUGGUCAGCACAGACCCUGGCCUCCGCUCCCACUGGCUGGUG
rnacentral:circRNA from 1 species